CAUCAUGAAGUCAUUUUUUUACACUGAAAUACUACAGAAGUUUCAGAAAGGUUGCAAUUAUUUGAUUUCUGGAGAUAAGCAGUAUUACUAGUAUUCAGUGAAAUUGGUCAUACCUCUGUCAUCUUUUUCAAAUGCUUGAACAAAAAACAAAUUUAAAAUAUGUACCAUAUCAUCAACUAUUUCACACUUUAAACUUUGUCUUAUGAUUAGGAUUUUAUAACGAUGCCUGAUGUCAGAAAAAAAAUGAACAUUUCCUUAAUUUUAGAAUAAGAUGGGCAUCUGUUUAUUUGUUAUUGUAUGGAUGUACAUGUAUCUAAUGAACAACCAACCAGGGUGAAAGGAUUCAGUCAUCUGUUAAUGCUUGCUUUUAAAAUAAAUUUGUACCUAUU
rnacentral:misc_RNA from 1 species